rnacentral:lncRNA from 1 species
CUCGAACUCUAAAACAUUCAUCAUGUCAAUUAUGUGAAAAAGUAAUCCGCUAAAUAACCUUCUUAUAUUUUGCAACAUAUUGCAAAAUCAAGGAUUAGAACCCUUGAUUCCUUCAACCAAAGGAGUUAUUUAACCAUGUGUUAGAUACCAUUUUUAUUAAACUAGCAAUUGAAAAAAACUUAUAAACUUCAGCUUCUAAGAUCUUCGUCUUUCCCACCGGAGUUCGACUCCAGUAAGUCGCGUUACCCCGCGUAGUAGGGAUUGGCUAUGAUUCGGGCCUUGUCGAUCCAAAGAUGUCAAAAGAAAAAAAAAGAUCUUCGUCUACCACUACCACGGCCAUCAUCGCUCCUCCGUCCUCAUCGCCAUUGACAUUAUUGUUAACUUUAUUAAACUAUGAUAAAUGACAUAUCAAAUCAAACUCCUCGCACUAAAGAAUUCAAAUUUUCUAUUUGAAAUUUAGAAACUCUAAAGAAUAUGGUCGUAAAGGCUCUUAAAAGUUUCAGAUUCUAAAAUCAACAUGCCCAAAAUAAAUAAAAACUAGUAGCCUUUGCUAAAGUUGACCUUCUGAAUGCAAAUUUGGUCUCAUUCAGCAAAAUCUCCGCGUACUAUUGCUAGCAACAUGUGACCUAGGUGCGGACCGUAGUUACUAUUCCUCGGGUAGUAAAAUAAUGUAGUCCACAAUCUAUAUAUACGAUAACAAUUUAUUUAAUAGAACAUAUACUUCGCCGACGUUACAGAAAUUUAUUAACGAAAACAACACUUGAUAAUUCUAAAAAACAAACAAACACCACAGCUUCGUUUAAAACAUUUAAUUAGAACGACACAAACAAAUGACACAUAUAGAGAACAUAUCAGGGAACAAAACACAUUUGUUAAUUACCUCCCACGCUUGCAUCUGUUGAAGGUAGUACAAGCCCUGGAAUUAUAUAUCUUACCCUGUUUGAUACAAGCUUCAUACGCAGAAGAAGUACAUAUCGCCGUAUGUUGCAAGGCCCUCGUGGAUAUGUAAUUAUUUCUCCCUGAAAGAGAAUCCCAAAAUUCAUCAGCUCCCCCAUCUUCAUGAACAGUGAGAUUUCCCCAGUCACUUAUCAUCUGCCCUGAGGUUACAACGCCAAGGAGCAAGAGAAGGACGAAGACUAUUGACUUCAUUUCUUCAAUUAUUUGUCUUUUUUUUUUUGUUUUUCUGUGGUGUGAGGAGUGAUGGAUAGGGAAGAUAGAUAUAGUGGUAGUAUGAUUACUUUGGUUGGUCCAUAUUUAAUAUGAACUAAAUGUAUCCCUGAG